CCUACGGGAGGCAGCAGUGGGGAAUAUUGCGCAAUGGGCGAAAGCCUGACGCAGCGACGCCGCGUGAGGGAUGAAGGUCUUCGGAUCGUAAACCUCUGUCAGCAGGGAAGAACGGUCACUGUGCUAAUCAGCAGUGAAUUGACGGUACCUGCAAAGGAAGCACCGGCUAACUCCGUGCCAGCAGCCGCGGUAAUACGGAGGGUGCGAGCGUUAAUCGGAAUUACUGGGCGUAAAGCGCUCGUAGGCGGUAUGUCAAGUCAAGGGUGAAAUCCCCGCGCUCAACGUGGGAACUGCCUUUGAAACGGGCAAACUGGAGUGUGUGAGAGGAUAGUGGAAUUCCAGGUGUAGGAGUGAAAGCCGUAGAUAUCUGGAGGAACAUCAGUGGCGAAGGCGACUAUCUGGCACAUAACUGACGCUGAGGAGCGAAAGCGUGGGUAGCAAACAGGAUUAGAUACCCCGGUAGUC
rnacentral:rRNA from 1 species